GCCCCCGUCGCCCAAUUGGCAGAGGCGCCUGGUUGAGGGCCAGGAAUGGUGCAGGUUCAAGUCCUGCCGGGGGUA
rnacentral:tRNA from 1 species